CUUAUAUAUAUAUAGAGAGAGAGAAUUGAGCUCCUAUGCUUUUAAAACUACCGAGUUAUUAAUACGUGUAGAUUUUGGCUAUUUGAUUAAGGGAUAUGCGGUUAGGAUGAUGUGGGACCUCUAGGGUUGAGUGAGUGGUUGGUUGAAUAGUACGAUCUAACGGAUAGAAGUGAUCAAAGGAAUAAAUUUAAUGGUAAGAAAUUUACAAGCACCAAAUGCUUGGUACUUUUACAAGCACCAUAGUCGAAUUCUCUCUCUCUCUCUCUAUGUAUAUAUAGAGUUGAGCUGGAAUACUAUUAUUAGUAUUUAGGCUCUUUUACUAUUAAUUUUUUAACCGUUAGAUCUACACUUUAAUUAAUUCCAUUUUUUAGAUCAUACUAUUCAGCCAACCACCCGCUUAACCCUAAGGGGAUUACUACUAAACCCUAGAAAACCACUAUCAUUCUAACCUUAUAAUUUUUCAUUCAAGGAUUAAAAACUCUCUCUAUAUAUAAUUAAUAGUAUUAAUAGUAGUUCAACUCCCUUUA
rnacentral:lncRNA from 1 species